rnacentral:rRNA from 1 species
CCGUAGCCCAAGAGAUCGGGAUAACACCUGGAAACAGAUGCUAAUACCGGAUAACAACAGAUGAUGCCUAUCAACUGUUUAAAAGAUGGUUCUGCUAUCACUCUUGGAUGGACCUGCGGCGCAUUAGCUAGUUGGUAGGGUAACGGCCUACCAAGGCGAUGAUGCAUAGCCGAGUUGAGAGACUGAUCGGCCACAUUGGGACUGAGACACGGCCCAAACUCCUACGGGAGGCAGCAGCC